GACAGCAGUCGCCGCGGUAAUACGUAGGUGGCAAGCGUUGUCCGGAAUUAUUGGGCGUAAAGGGCUCGCAGGCGGUUCCAUAAGUCUGAUGUGAAAGCCCCCGGCUCAACCGGGGAGGGUCAUUGGAAACUGGGAAACUUGAGUGCAGAAGAGGAGAGUGGAAUUCCACGUGUAGCGGUGAAAUGCGUAGAGAUGUGGAGGAACACCAGUGGCGAAGGCGACUCUCUGGUCUGUAACUGACGCUGAGGAGCGAAAGCGUGGGGAGCGAACAGGAUUAGAUACCCGGGUAGUCCCUGUCUCUUAUAC
rnacentral:rRNA from 1 species